rnacentral:lncRNA from 1 species
UUAAAUUUUAAAUUUUAAAUUUUAAAUUUCAUAAUUAUUUUAAAUUUUAAAUUUUUAAAUUUUUAAAAUUUUAAAUUAUUUUUUAAAUUAAAAUAUCAAUUUUAAAUUUUGUAUAAUUUUGAAAUUUAAAAUUUUAAUUUUAAUUGAAAUUGAAAUUGAAAUUUUAAAUUAUUUUAAAAUAAAAUUUAAUAAAAUAAUUAAUUUAUGCAAACAUUAAAAAAAAUUUCCAAACAGCUUUUCAAAAUUACUUCAGAAAAAUCGCUUUUAUCUAUACUCAGCCAAACGCUCUACAGCUUUUAACUAAAAUCACUUUUUUAAACCAAAAUCAUUUUUUCAUAAAUCACUUUUUCAGAAACUAAGCCAAACGAGCCCUUAAUCUUAACAACUCUUCUGAACGAAAGUCUUAUUUGUCACAGUAAUAACCAGAUAGGAUAUAUUUUGGUAUUUUAAAUCAACUUUAUGCUAUGUGCAGAAGUAAAGAAUCUAGUUUACAAGGGCACUAUAAUAAUUUUAGCAUUGAAAUGAUAUUUAAAAGACAAAAAAUUAUCAGGUGUUGAUGUGUUGGCAAUUCUAUAUAAUAAUCUUUGGUUACGUA